rnacentral:rRNA from 1 species
UACAGAGGGGGCGUAGCGUUGUUCGGAAUUACUGGGCGUAAAGCGCACGUAGGCGGCUUUGUAAGUUAGAGGUGAAAGCCCGGGGCUCAACUCCGGAACUUGGCCUUUAAGACUGCAUUCGCUAGAAUUGUGGAGAGGUAAGUGGAAUUCCGAGUGUAGAGGUGAAAUUCGUAGAUAUUCGGAAAGAACACCAGUGGCGAAGGCGACUUACUGGACACAUAUUGACGCUGAGGUGCGAAAGCGUGGGGAGCAAACAGGGAUUAAGAAACCCCAGGUACAGUCCGAGACCAAAC